rnacentral:rRNA from 1 species
UGGGGAAUAUUGCACAAUGGGCGAAAGCCUGAUGCAGCGACGCCGCGUGAGGGAUGACGGCCUUCGGGUUGUAAACCUCUUUCAGUAGGGACGAAGCGCAAGUGACGGUACCUGCAGAAGAAGCACCGGCUAACUACGUGCCAGCAGCCGCGGUAAUACGUAGGGUGCGAGCGUUGUCCGGAAUUACUGGGCGUAAAGAGCUCGUAGGCGGUUUGUCACGUCGUCUGUGAAAUCCUAGGGCUUAACCCUGGACGUGCAGGCGAUACGGGCUGACUUGAGUACUACAGGGGAGACUGGAAUUUCUGGUGUAGCGGUCGAAUGCACAGAUAUCAGGAAGAACACCGAUGGCGAAGGCAGGUCUCUGGGUAGUAACUGACGCUGAGGAGCGAAAGCAUGGGUAGCGAACAGG